rnacentral:misc_RNA from 1 species
AACCUUAUGGACCUGCGGGCGUAUACCUGCGGAAGGAUCAUUACCAGUACCACCGUCGCCUCCGGGCGUCGGUCUACUACCAACCCUUUGUCAUCCGACCUCGUUGCCUCCGGGUGCGACCCUGACCUUCGGGUCUCGCGUCUCCCCGGGUGGACACACAUCAAAACUCUGCAUAACUUUGUAGUCUGAGUAAAACUUUUAAUUAAAUUAAAACUUUCAGCAACGGAUCUCAGAUCGGAA